rnacentral:rRNA from 1 species
UAGUGGCGAACGGGUGAGUAACACGUGGGCAAUCUGCCCUUCACUNUGGGACAAGCCCUGGAAACGGGGUCUAAUACCGGAUAACACUCUGUCCCGCAUGGGACGGGGUUAAAAGCUCCGGCGGUGAAGGAUGAGCCCGCGGCCUAUCAGCUUGUUGGUGGGGUGAUGGCCUACCAAGGCGACGACGGGUAGCCGGCCUGAGAGGGCGACCGGCCACACUGGGACUGAGACACGGCCCAGACUCCUACGGGAGGCAGCAGUGGGGAAUAUUGCACAAUGGGCGAAAGCCUGAUGCAGCGACGCCGCGUGAGGGAUGACGGCCUUCGGGUUGUAAACCUCUUUCAGCAGGGAAGAAGCGAGAGUGACGGUACCUGCAGAAGAAGCGCCGGCUAACUACGUGCCAGCAGCCGCGGUAAUACGUAGGGCGCAAGCGUUGUCCGGAAUUAUUGGGCGUAAAGAGCUCGUAGGCGGCUUGUUGCGUCGGUUGUGAAAGCCCGGGGCUUAACCCCGGGUCUGCAGUCGAUACGGGCAGGCUAGAGUGUGGUAGGGGAGAUCGGAAUUCCU